rnacentral:sRNA from 1 species
AUUUGGGGAACAGCUUUCCAAAGUCAUCUCCCUUAUUUGCAUUGCAGUCUGGAUCAUAAAUAUUGGGCACUUCAAUGACCCGGUUCAUGGAGGGUCCUGGAUCAGAGGUGCUAUUUACUACUUUAAAAUUGCAGUGGCCCUGGCUGUAGCAGCCAUUCCUGAAGGUCUGCCUGCAGUCAUCACCACCUGCCUGGCUCUUGGAACUCGCAGAAUGGCAAAGAAAAAUGCCAUUGUUCGAAGCCUCCCGUCUGUGGAAACCCUUGGUUGUACUUCUGUUAUCUGCUCGGACAAGACUGGUACACUUACAACAAACCAGAUGUCAGUCUGCAGGGGAACAUCAAUUCAUUCAGCUCUGCGGGCUCCUUACUGUAUACAUAUAGUUAUGCAGCUUCAUAGAACAUGAGCUAUUGCCACAAUAAAAAUAAGUGGGAAGGAGCAGAGAAGCAGUUUGUCUUAUUUUACUCGGGAAAUGUUUAUGCAUCUCUGAAAUGUGAGUUUAUUCU